AGUGAACGCUGGCGGCAGGCCUAACACAUGCAAGUCGAACGGCAGCACAGUAAGAGCUUGCUCUUACGGGUGGAGAGCGGCGGAAGGGUGAGGAAUACAUCGGAAUCUACUUUUUCGUGGGGGAUAACGUAGGGAAACUUACGCUAAUACCGCAUUUGACCUCCGGGGGAAAGCAGGGGAUCUUUGGACCUUGCGCGAUUGAAUGAGCCGAUGUCGGAUUAGCUAGUUGGCGGGGUAAAGGCCAAACUGGGCCACGAUGCGUAGGUGGUCUGAGAGGGUGGUCAGCCACACGGGAUGGGAGACUGGGCCGACACUCCUGGGGUAGGACACAGUGGGGAAUAGUAGACAAGGGGGGCGAGGCUGAUCCAGCCAUACCGCGUGGGUGAUGAAGGCCUUCUGGUUGUAAAGCCCUUUUGUUGGUAAAGAAAAGCAGCAGGUUAAUACCCCGCUGUUCUGACGGUACCCGAAGAAUAAGCACCGGCUAACUUCGUG
rnacentral:rRNA from 1 species